UGCCAGCCGCCGCGGUAAUACGAAGGGACCUAGCGUAGUUCGGAAUUACUGGGCUUAAAGAGCUCGUAGGUGGUUAAAAAAGUUGAUGGUGAAAUCCCAAGGCUUAACCUUGGAACUGCCAUCAAAACUUUUUAGCUAGAGUGUGAUAGAGGUAAGUGGAAUUUCUAGUGUAGAGGUGAAAUUCGUAGAUAUUUGGAGGAACACCAGUGGCGAAGGCGGCUUUCUGGACAGUGACUGACGCUGAGGCGCGAAAGCGUGGGUAGCAAACAGGAUUAGAUA
rnacentral:rRNA from 1 species